CCAGACCCCUCUCUCCUUUGAGAAAAAUAUUAAUAGUUUUCCUUAGAAGCCUGUAUUUGUGUUAUCUUAGUGUCAGAAGUUAACGGAGGGAGCAAUCUGGACCUGGUUCCAGAGUCUGCCAUCCUUGGUGGAACUUUUAGAGCUUUCUCAAAUGCUAGCUUUCAUAAGCUCAGGCAAAGAAUAGAGGAGGUAGGAAUCAAGAUAUUUUUAAAGCUUUUCAUUUUCUAUGUAGGUAAAACUAUUGACAACCUGAUUUAGGCUUUGUUCUUGUACUGUUAUCAAACUCGAAAAAGCUUUUCUAAUACUGUUAGCAAACUAUAACUAGAUUUGAGUCAGGGCA